rnacentral:tRNA from 1 species
GCCGAGGUGGUGUAACGGCAGCAUGAGAGGCUGUGGCCCUCUAGGUCCGGGUUCAAAUCCCGGCCUCGGCC